AGUACCCAGUGAGGUUUAUUACAAGAAUACAAGAUUAAUGUACCCUCCAAGAGCCAAUCAACGCAAUUUAGCCCAUUAACAGAUAAAGGGGAAAAUGAUCCAUCUUAACAGGUGCAAACAACAUUUGACGACACUCACUAUCACGCGUGAUAAAAAUGCUCACAAACGAGCCGUGGGAGGAAGCGUCUUCAGUCUGAUAAAGGGCAUCGGUGGAAACUUACAACGUUACCACAAACUCUCAUUCUCUUAACAGUUUUUUCUUUUUUGGCUGCACGUGCAGCAUGCGAAAGUUCCUGGGCCAGGAAUCAAAGCCGAGCUGCAGCUGUGACCUACGUCACAGGUGUGGUGACACUGGAUCCUUGACCCACUGUGCCACAGUGGGAAUUCCCUCUUAAUAGUUUUAUACUAACACUGAAACAUUGAGUGGCUUACCCCUCAUACCAGGAAUAAUGCAAGGAUGCGUGGCCACCUCGCCACCUCUAAAAACAGUGUACCGUAGCUCUCAGCCAGUGUCCUGGGGCUGUCAGGGACAUAAAGUUCACAAAUAUCGGAGAGAAUAACGUGAGACUGUCUUAACGCACACACCUCAUGAUUGUUUACGUAAGAAACCUUAAAGCCACAAAAAUCCUACUCUAGAUAUCAAUCAAUUUAGCUCAGUAUACAACUACAGGUGUGAUAUAUUCACUGACUCAUAAAAAAUGACAAAAAUAAAUUUAGGAAAUUCACAGGAUUCAUAAUCAACGUAAAUAUUCCAUUGUAUUUUCAUAUAUUAGCAAUGAAAACUUGGAAAAAUAAAAUUUAAACUCAUUCCAAUACUGUCAAAAAUUAAAUACACAGGAAUCAAUUUAGGUACAUUAAAACCUGUCUGCUAAAAACUAUAAAACGUUGCUGAGAGAAAUUGAAGAUGUAAGCUGAGAAAUAGACUCUGUUCAUAGAUUGUAAGACUCAUGAUUAUUACAAUAUUAAUUCUCUUCACAUUUAUCCGUUCUGAAUCAAAACCCUGAGUCCUUUUAUAGAAACUGACUCAAUUCUGAAAGGCACCUGAAAAUGCAGAGUCCUCUGCAGCCAAGUCGUCUCGAAGAAUAACAAAGCUGGAGGGUUCCUACUACAAAAUUUUAGACCAUGUACCCCUACAGCAAUUGGGAAAGCAGGCAUUUGGUAUAAGGAUGGGCAUUGAGAUAACUGGAACAGAACAGAACACCCAAAUAUGAAGCUACAUAGAUAUGUGGUUGUUUUUCAAUCGAGAUGAAACCGGUGUAACAUAAAAUCAACCAUUUCUGAGGGCACAAUUAAGUGACAUUUAGCGCAUUACAGCCCUGGGAAGCCACCAUGGCUAACUGAUGCGCUAGGAGGGUGCUGGGGGAGUUCAACCAGGAAAGGAGAAUCUUCUCGACCGAUGACAGAGCGAGUGGAUAAACAGAGGGAGGGGAAAAUGAAGGUCAGCCCUUACCUCGCCCUGCACAAAAGGCUUCGAGCUGGAUCAAUGGAUCAGUGACCCGUGCUCUACACAAAAAUCUUAAAACCGUAAAACUUAUAAUAGAAAACAGAGGAGAUGGAUGUUGUAGGACACAAAAGGCAACACAAACUAAAGGACGAACCAAUCGGUUAGUCUUCAUUUAAAUCCUCACCAUCAGCUCAUGCGCAGACACUCUUAAAACCAACCCACAGACUGUGGGAAAAGAGUCCCAGUGCAUAUGCCUAACACGAGACGUCUAUCACAUAUAUAAAGAGCCCCACCUCUCAAUAACAAAGACCAAUGUCGUUAGAAGUUGGAGCUCCCCUUGCAGCUCAAUGGUAAUAAGCCUGACUAGUAUCCAUGAGGACUCAGGUUCAAUCCCUGGCCUCACUCAAUGGGUUAAGGUUCUGGUGUUGCCAUGAGCUAUGGUGUAGGUUGCAGACAUGGCUCGGAUCUGGUGUUGCUGUGGUUGUGGUGUAGGCCGGUGGUUGCAGCUCUGAUUCGAGCUCUAGCCUGGGAAGCUCCCUAUGCUGUAGGUAUGGCCCUGAAAAGAAAAAAAGAUUAAAAAAAGAAAUCAUGAGACAGGAAUUCUUGCCGUUACUGCGGUGUAGGAUGCGGCUGUGGCUCAGAUUCAGUCCCUGGCCUGGGAACUUCCGUAGGUCACAGGUGUGGCUCCCCCCCACCCCAAAUCGUACCCUCCAGGUGGCUGAAAGUAAAAGACAUUGACACCACUUGAUGUGGGUGAGGAUGUGGAGCAACUGGAAACUCCUGGCGCAGCUGAGGGGAUUAUAGGAUUAAAAUUGGACAGACAACUCAGUUCUAUAGUCACAUGGUGGAAUACUAUGCAGCAAAGAAAAGAGGCGUGCACUCAAAAUUUGUUAAGGGAAAGAAGAGAAAUAGUGCCUCUUUUAUAAUUCUAUGUAUAUGAAGUCCAAGAAGAGGCAAAACUAAUACAUGAUUACAGAAAUAUAGAGGUUACCUAUGGGGGUGGGGCUAGAGAACAUUCUGGAGCUGUGCAAAUGCUCCUUUUCUUGAAUGUGGUAGUGGUCCUGGGGUAUAUCCAGUUAUUAAGACUCAAAUUGGGAGUUCUUGGUAUGGUGCAGCAAGUUAGGGUUCCAGCCCUAUCUCUGCAGUGGCUCUGGUGGCUGCUGAGGCACAGGUUCAAUCCCUGGCCUGGUGCAGUGAGUUAAAGAUCCAGCAUUGUCAUAGCUGUGGUGUAGGCUUGCAACUGCAGCUUGGAUUUGAUCCCUGGUCUGGGAACUUCCAUAUGCCGUGGAAGCAGCACUGCCCCCCAAAUAAAGUUUCCAGUUGUGCACUGAACAUGUGUACACUGGGCCCUGUGUAAAAGCUUCCAGAAAAGUGAUGAAGAUGAGGUCACCCAUGUACCCAUAGUGCCCUGUAACUUGACCGGGUCUCUCCGAGAUAUAUUGAGAGUGCAUGUCAUGCCAGGUUGGCACGUCAACUUACUCCUUGGCACCAGCUUCAAUUGCUGGCGAUCACGCUGGUGUCUGGAUUUGCCGCAGUGUCACCAGCCCCAGGAAGCUUUGGAGACCAGGGUAGGAGCUGCCUCUUCCAAAUUCAUGCUCACGGCGGCAGAAAAUAAAAGCAAGGCAGACAUUCGGGUGUCUUUCUAUUUAUGGAAAUCUUGAACGGGCGCCCCAUCCUGCCAGUGGCCCCAUUUCGUAGGUGGCAGUUGCAGGCCACCAAGGGUCAGUCCGGGCCCUGGAUCGGAAGACGAGGGGUCUGGAGACAAGCGCUGGGCGAGGCUUUGGUCUGAAGAACAGAGGAGCCCUUGCUGCUGAGCCCCUCAUGGGAACACAGUUCGGGGCUGCCUGCGGCCCAGAUGUGGCCGUGUCAUCCACGGGUGACGCUGGCGUGGGCCUCGUGCAGCCCGGUCCCUAGGACCAGCCGGGACACUCCAGGCAGGAGGUGGCAGCCGAGACCCAGGAGACUAGCCCUGAGACCUCAGCUGGGGUCAUCUGGGGUCAUCGGAGGUGGCAGUACUCUUGGCAGGCCAUGGGGACCGUGGCACGUCAUCUGAGGAGGGCGGCCGGCUGUCUCCUGGGGCUCUUUGUGGUUUCCAGCAGGCUGGACCGUGGCUGCAGAAGGGCCACUACCAGGAGGUCCAGCAGGACACAGUGGGCCCAGGCAAGCUGUCACCUCCACCACCACGGCCACUCUGCUGCCCCACGUCCUGCCGCUUCGCUCAAGCCCUGCCCCCCGCCCCCAGUCCUCACUUCCGUGCUCUGUUCAUUGUCUGCCGGGGCGGAAGUGCUGGGGCGGCUUUGGGAGGACCCCGAAUAAUAGUGGGCGGUGUGGCCCGAGGAAGCCAGGACCCCGUGUGGGCGUGAGGACACGUCUCAGGGGACCUCCGGGCCUGGGUCAGGAAGCUGGCUGCCAGGGCUCCCAGGGGGUUUCUGGGGGUGCUGACUCAGUAGCGGGGCCCCACAGAUGGGGCGGCCUCGGAAAGCCCCUCCCCCACCUGCCUUGGCUCAAGUCGGACUGGGGGCGGGGGGCUGGGGGCCCAGGAGCCCGAGGGCACAAAGCUGCCUCUGUGGCCGCGCCGUGGGCAGCAGAGAUAAGUCACAGCGGCCGCCUCUGUUGUGCCGUCAGAGGGCAAAAAUAGACCAGGGCUCCGUUUCCCAGAAGGGCCCCGUGUGGGCCUGGGCCAGGCGGCGGUCUGUCCUUGGCCUUGAGUGCGAUUCUGCGGCCCUCAGGGCAGGGCGAGCGUCAGGCCCUCCCUCCUGCCUCUGAUGCUGCUUCAGACACGGCUGCACCUCGGGGACCAAAGGCUGGCCGGGCAGGUGUGCCAAAUUGGCCCUCCCUUGGGGUCUCCGGGUGGGGGCUGCGGAGACCCCCACACUCCACGUCCACCUCUCAGGCAUUGUAGACCCGGUUCCUCAUGACGCUGGGCUGCAAGGCCCCCGGGGCCACGGACCCUAGAGCAAGUGGUCGGUGUCUCGGGCGCGGGCUCACCUGGCCCUCACCUGGCCAGCCAGCCCUGACCUGCCCGUGGCUCAGAGACUCAAGGUGGCCCUGGGCACAAGCGAGGGGCACUGGGGAGUGCUUAGCUCCUGGAAUAAGGGGGUGUCCAGUCAAGGGAGCAUCAGGAACUCCGCUGGGCUGGCCUUUGACCUGCGACUCCCGCCUGAACCAUCAGAGCUCCCGAGGGUUUCCAGGCCACUGGCCUUCCCGCCCGCGCUGCUCCGCACACACUGCAGGCUGGCACCGUCCCCAGUUCACUCAGAACC
rnacentral:lncRNA from 1 species